rnacentral:rRNA from 1 species
CAGCCGCCGCGGGAAUACGAAGGGUGCAAGCGUUACUCGGAAUUACUGGGCGUAAAGCGUGCGUAGGUGGUGGUUUAAGUCCGUUGUGAAAGCCCUGGGCUCAACCUAGGAAUUGCAGUGGAUACUGGAUCACUAGAGUGUGGUAGAGGAUAGUGGAAUUUCCGGUGUAGCAGUGAAAUGCGUAGAGAUCGGAAGGAACAUCUGCGGCGAAGGCGACUAUCUGGGCCAACACUGACACUGAGGCACGAAAGCGUGGGGAGCAAACAGGAUUAGAGACCCCCGUAGUCCCUGUCUCUUAUAC